ACCUCCUAAACCCCCUCAAACAACUCCACCAAAUGGUGUUCAAAUACACGAGCCUAUGGGAGACGUACUCCCUCAAAUCACAACACUAAAUUUAAAAAAGUAAUGUGUAUAAUGUAGAAAUGCUGUGUUUAGAGGUAAUUGUCAUCUUAGAAAAUAAUGUGUAAGAACUGGCUUCAUCUAAAUGGGGUUUGAAACUUGUAAUUUCAUAAUCUGUCAAUACAUUCUCAGUGUUGGUAAGAUAAUCCUGGCAAUACAUACACACCCUGUAUGAUGACCUGUUUCUAAAAUGGGAAGUAACAGAUUUGUUCUUUACGGAUUUCAUCAAGGCUGACAUCAAGGGACAGACUUUAUCUCCCAGGACUUAAGGCACAAAGAACAAAUGACAGAACAGCUCCAAGUAUCAGCCCAGCAUUUGUCCUCAGGCCUAAGAGCAUCCUCCAACGUUAUUUGCAGUACAGGUCUGUCGUGAAUAAAUCUGUUAGAUUUCA